GGCUUCGUGGUCGAAUGGUAAGGACACUUGCCUUUCACGCCGGAGUACGAGGUUCGAUCCUCUCUCGGGAAGCUG